CAGCGCCACGAGUGGGGGUCACGAUUAUUGGGCCUAAAGCGUCCGUAGCCGGUUCAGCAAAUCCUUUGUGAAAUCGUUGGGCUCAACCCAACGGCGUGCAGGGGACACUACUGAACUAGGGACCGGGAGGGGUUGGAGGUAUUUCUGAGGGAGCGGUAAAAUGCUAUAAUCUCAGGAGGACCACCUGUGGCGAAGGCGUCCAACCAGAACGGAUCCGACGGUGAGGGACGAAAGCUGGGGGAGCGAUCCGGAUUAGAGACCCGAGUAGUCC
rnacentral:rRNA from 1 species